rnacentral:sRNA from 1 species
ACUCCCAACCCUUGCAAACCGUACCCCGUUCUGUUCUCGUUGCUUCUGGCGGGAGGCGGGAGGGCGCGGGGGGGUGUGGUGGCCUCGGCCGCCUUGCCCCUCCUCCGCCUUCCCCCCCUGGGUCCCCUCGGGGCGCCCGCCAGCGGUCAGCGAGCCGCCCGAACUUUUAUACCAACAGCAAACGUCUUCGUCUGAGCAACAAACAAAAAUAAGCAAAACUUUCAACAACGGAUCUCUUGGCUCUGGCAUCGAUGAAGAACGCAGCGAAAUGCGAUACGUAAUGCGAAUUGCAGAAUUCAGCGAGUCAUCGAAUCUUUGAACGCACAUUGCGCCCGCCAGCAUUCUGGCGGGCAUGCCUGUCCGAGCGUCAUUUCCCCCCUCAGCGCACCCUUUGCGCUGGCGUUGGGGCUCCUCCGCCCCGCUCGUGGGCGGCAGGGCCCUCAAAACCAGUGGCGGGCCCAGCUGGUGGCUCCGAGCGCAGUACCGAACGCAUCGUUCUCCUCUCGCUCUGCAGCUCCGGCCGGCGCCCAGCCGUCAAGCCGCGCGGGCGGUCCUCAGCGUCUUUUCGCCGAGCCGCCUCGCACUUUGUACCAAGGUUGACCUCGGAUCAGGUAGGACUACCCGCUGA